GGAAAACAAAGCUGUGAUUGAACGCCCAAAAAGCUAUGCAUCUGAGGCUCUCCCUACAGAGGCAGGUUUGUUUUUUUGUUUUUUGUUUGUUUGUUUGUUUGUUUUGGUGUUUUUUUUUCCAUUUACUAUAAUAAAUCUGUACCCCCCAAAAUCCUUGUUUUUUUUGAUCCUAUCUUUGAUGUUUUUUAUUAUCCUAUACUUUGAUGUUUUUUAUUAUUUCUUAAUUGCUUGCUGAAAAUAUCUCUUGAAUAUUCCAACUUUAUUUCUGUUGAACUAAGAAGAGGAAUUUAAAUUCUUUGGUGUGUGAUUCAGCAGGACAGUUACCUCAGGCUGAGACAGAUGGGAACCUAGAAAAGAUUACAGAAUUGGGGCAGCUGGGAUGCGGCUCCCGAAACACCUGGGCUGCUCUCCUCAGCAUGAUCGGUGACAGCUUCUGACAGCUUCCUUCAGACAAGCAGCAAACUCAUGGAAAGGUGACUGGAGCGACCAGGAGUCAAGUUCUUUAGAGGCCAUGUGAACACAUCUGCAAGUGGAUUCUCCUCAAAGCUUCAUUCAAGCUUUCAGAAGACAGCCAUCCCUGCUGACAGAUUGCCUGCAACCUCAUGAACCAGAACCCUUGGCUCAGCUACUCCUGGACUCUGCACUGUUGUUGUUUAAAGUUGGUCAUAUCCAGUCGAUGAGCAAAUCCUGUGGACUCCACCUGCAGAAUAUACUUAGCAUCUGAUGAUUCUCAAAACCUCCUUUGCAAACAUGGGUUCAUUCCCCUCCAGUACUAUCCCGGGUUGCUGGUAAUGGUCUCUAGAUCUCCCAGAGUAUCCUAAUAGCCUCC